rnacentral:misc_RNA from 1 species
AACGCACGAGACCUGCGGACCUGCGGAGGGAUCAUUACCGAGUGAGGGCCCUCUGGGUCCAACCUCCCACCCGUGUUUAUCGUACCUUGUUGCUUCGGCGGGCCCGCCUCACGGCCGCCGGGGGGCACCUGCCCCCGGGCCCGCGCCCGCCGAGGACAUCAUUGAACUCUGUCUGAAGAUUGCAGUCUGAGUAGAUUAGCUAAAUCAGUUAAAACUUUUAACAACGGAUCUCUAGAUCGG